rnacentral:rRNA from 1 species
AAUAGAUACCCCGGUAGUCCACGCCGUAAACGAUGGAGGCUAGCCGUUGGCGAGCAUGCUCGUCAGUGGCGCAGCUAACGCAUUAAGCCUCCCGCCUGGGGAGUACGGUCGCAAGAUUAAAACUCAAAGGAAUUGACGGGGGCCCGCACAAGCGGUGGAGCAUGUGGUUCAAUUCGAAGCAACGCGCAGAACCUUACCAGCCCUUGACAUGCCGGUCGCGGGCACCAGAGAUGGAGCCUUUCAGUUCGGCUGGACCGGACACAGGUGCUGCAUGGCUGUCGUCAGCUCGUAUCGUGAGAUGUUGGGUUAAGUCCCGCAACGAGCGCAACCCUCGCCCUUAGUUGCCAGUCAUUUAGUUGGGCACUCUAAGGGGACUGCCGGUGAUAAGCCGCGAGGAAGUGGGAUGACGUCAAGUCCUCAUGGCCCUUACGGGCUGGGCUACGACACGUGCUACAAUGGCGGUGACAGUGGGAUGCAAUGGAGUAAUCCUGCGCAAAUCUCAAAAAGCCGUCUC